AGGCUCCAGGGGCAGCACAUGGAAAGAUCUGCCAGCACUGUGGCAGGGAUCAUGGGGACCGACCAUGCUACCGCCUCAACAACACCUGUCGCAUAUGUGGUAGUGCCCAGCACUAUGCGAGAGAGUGCCCGAGGAACCAGAACCAAGGAAGACCUCCUUUUCAGGGCAGGGUUUAUAACCUCACCUAGCAGGAUGCCGACGC
rnacentral:lncRNA from 1 species